AUUGAACGCUGGCGGCAGGCUUAACACAUGCAAGUCGAGCGGAGAUGAGGUGCUUGCACCUUAUCUUAGCGGCGGACGGGUGAGUAAUGCUUAGGAAUCUGCCUAUUAGUGGGGGACAACAUUCCGAAAGGAAUGCCAAUACCGCAUACGCCCUACGGGGGAAAGCAGGGGAUCUUCGGACCUUGCGCUAAUAGAUGAGCCUAAGUCGGAUUAGCUAGUUGGUGGGGUAAAGGCCUACCAAGGCGACGAUCUGUAGCGGGUCUGAGAGGAUGAUCCGCCACACUGGAACUGAGACACGGCCCAGACUGCUACGGGAGGCGGCAGUGGGGAAUAUUGGACAAUGGGCGGAAGCCUGAUCCAGCCAUGCCGCGUGUGUGAAGAAGGCCUUUUGGUUGUAAAGCACUUUAAGCGAGGAGGAGGCUACCUGGAUUAAUACUCUAGGAUAGUGGACGUUACUCGCAGAAUAAGCACCGGCUAACUCUGUGCCAGCCGCCGCGGUAAUAC
rnacentral:rRNA from 1 species